CAUAUGAAUAUUUUUGUGGUUUGAUUGUAAUCGUUAAGGGGUUCCUAGGAUUUUUGAGUUCUGGUAGUUGAGUUUAAUUGUUAAAUCUUGUUUUCAUUUAUUGAAUGCAUGUUAAAAAUUUUUGAAAUAUAUAUUUCAAUGUGUCAUCAAAAUCCAAUAGUGGUAUUAGAGCCAUCCUUGAUAGAUUCAAUCAAAUUUCAUGUUAUUUUUG
rnacentral:lncRNA from 1 species